AAGCAUCACGCCGGACGAACGGAUUACUCUGAUGAGGUAAACCAUGGGCUAUCGCCCUGAUGCUUU
rnacentral:tRNA from 1 species